CGUUAUGGUGGGCACUCUAAGGAGACUGCCGGUGACAAACCGGAGGAAGGUGGGAUGACGUCAAGUCAUCCAUGGCCCUUACGGCCUGGGCUACACACGUGCUACAAUGGUCGGUACAAAGGGUUGCCAAGCCGCGAGGUGGAGCUAAUCCCAUAAAACCGAUCGUAGUCCGGAUCGCAGUCUGCAACUCGACUGCGUGAAGUCGGAAUCGCUAGUAAUCGUGAAUCAGAAUGUCACGGUGAAUACGUUCCCGGGCCUU
rnacentral:rRNA from 1 species